GGAGGGGCUUGUUCAACAGGCUGACAGUCCACUGGAGAGUGGGGGAGGGGCAGAGUGUCUAAUACAUGAAGCCUGACCUCCAUUCAACCUCAGCGUGGAACUAUCAAGGGAAACUAUGUCAUUAUCUGGUGUAUUUGCCUGGAUUUUCACUAGAAAACUGUUAGCUAUCAGACCAAAGCCACGAGAACCACUGAGUUAGGAGCCCGCCCUCCAAACCCCCAACUUCACCCCCCUCCUGCCCCAAUUCAUUCAAUACCAAAGCGCCGUACAUCACUUCAGCCAAAACAAAGAGACAAAACGGUUUAUAUGAGGGAUUAGCAUUGUAUAACAUGUAUCUAAUAUUAAAGAGACAACGCUAUCCCUCUGGUAAUCCCUUAGGCUGGGAGGCUUGUGUGUGUGGUGCCUGAUAUCCAGCUGAAUGGAUGGGGCUGCUGGAGUUAGUGCUAUCUGAGCGGAGGGGCUGGGUGGCUUGUGUGUGUGGUGCCUGAUAUCCAGCUGAAUGGAUGGGGCUGCUGGAGUUAGUGCUAUCUGAGCGGAGGGGCUGGGUGGCUUGUGUGUGUGGUGCCUGAUAUCCAGCUGAAUGGAUGGGGCUGCUGGAGUUAGUGCUAUCUGAGAGGAGGGGCUGGGAGGCUUGUGUGUGUGGUGCCUGAUAUCCAGCUGAAUGGAUGGGGCUGCUGGAGUUAGUGCUAUCUGAGCGGAGGGGCUGGGUGGCUUGUGUGUGUGGUGCCUGAUAUCCAGCUGAAUGGAUGGGGCUGCUGGAGUUAGUGCUAUCUGAGAGGAGGGGCUGGGAGGCUUGUGUGUGUGGUGCCUGAUAUCCAGCUGAAUGGAUGGGGCUGCUGGAGUUAGUGCUAUCUGAGCGGAGGGGCUGGGUGGCUUGUGUGUGUGGUGCCUGAUAUCCAGCUGAAUGGAUGGGACUGCUGGAGUUAGUGCUAUCUGAGCGGAGGGGCUGGGAGGCUUGUGUGUGAGGUGCCUGAUAUCCAGCUGAAUGGGUGGGGCUGCUGGAGUUAGUGCUAUCUGAGCGGAGGGGCUGGGAGGCGGAAGCUAGCUGUCUAGUUUGUGUGUGUGUUUGCUGUCAGGAUUGAUUGUAUACGCACGCUGUGGCUGCAAGGUGAGGAGGGCCAGGCUGUGAGAAUGGCUUGCCUACACCAGCCAGGUUACAGGCUGUAUAGUUAGCUGACAGGGUAGGAGGGACCAGCCAGGUUACAGGCUGUAUAGCUAGCUGACAGGCUAGGAGGGACCAGCCAGGUUACAGGCUGUAUAGCUAGCUGACAGGCUAGGAGUGACCAGCCAGGUUACAGGCUGUAUAGCUAGCAGACAGGCUAGGAGGGACCAGCCAGGUUACAGGCUGUAUAGCUAGCUGACAGGCGAGGAGGGACCAGCCAGGUUACAGGCUGUAUAGCUAGCUGACAGGCUAGGAGGGACCAGCCAGGUUACAGGCUGUAUAGCUAGCUGACAGGCGAGGAGGGACCAGCCAGGUUACAGGCUGUAUAGCUAGCUGACAGGCGAGGAGGGACCAGCCAGGUUACAGGCUGUAUAGCUAGCUGACAGGCGAGGAGGGACCAGCCAGGUUACAGGCUGUAUAGCUAGCUGACAGGUGCUUUAAUAAAGAGGCUCUGAGGCAGGGCACAGAGCCCACUGUAAGCAACAGGAGCCAGGUGCCACACAUGCACGCAUGCAAACACACACACACACACACACACACACACACACACACAAACCCUCCCCACUACCCACCCCCUGUAUUCUCAGACGUGGCAGACAAAUUAAUUGGCCGUGAGUGUGUAAUGUAUAUGCCUAGAUAAAGGUGUGCUGUCUAGGCCGAGGCGUAGCGUAACGGCUGUAAUGAUGGCUCCAUUGUGUUGAUGUUGAGGGGUGUAGUUAGCGUUGCGUCGCGGCGCGGCUAGCUGGGGCCCUCGCUCGCUCGGAGGGCUGGAUAGUUCCUGAUUAAUAGCUGAGAAUGCUUUGAAGUGACACAUGAGUGCAAUGGGCUCACCAGGCUAAUAGUAAUAGCAUCAGUGGGUCUGCGUAUGUGUGUGUGUGGAAACGCUCUCACUUCCUCAACCUUCAUUAGGCACUAUUCUCUCUCGCACGCUUUCUCUUGCUAAGACGCUAUCUCUUACACACCAGUGGAUUAAUAUUAUGUAAUAGGCUUCAUUCAUACAGGUGAGAUGUAGGUUAAUAUUAUGGGAUAGUCUUCAUUCAUACAGGUGAGAUGUAGGUUAAUAUUAUGGGAUAGUCUUCAUUCAUACAGGUGAGAUGUAGGUUAAUAUUAUGGGAUAGUCUUCAUUCAUACAGGUGAGAUGUAGGUUAAUAUUAUGGGAUAGUCUUCAUUCAUACAGGUGAGAUGUAGGUUAAUAUUAUGGGAUAGUCUUCAUUCAUACAGGUGAGAUGUAGGUUAAUAUUAUGGGAUAGUCUUCAUUCAUACAGGUGAGAUGUAGGUUAAUAUUAUGGGAUAGUCUUCAUUCAUACAGGUGAGAUGUAGGUUAAUAUUAUGGGAUAGUCUUCAUUCAUACAGGUGAGAUGUAGGUUAAUAUUAUGGGAUAGUCUUCAUUCAUACAGGUGAGAUGUAGGUUAAUAGUUUGGACACCAGUUAGACACUACUGACAUUCUAUUUGGUUUCACAUAUCGACAGAUGAGCCACAGCUGUGUCUUUGUGUGUUUGUGUGUGUAUGUGUGCGUGUUCAUGGACACGUGUGCGUGUGUAUGUUUUAUUGGCACACAUGUGUGUAUACAUAAUCUGAUUACUUUCAGUUAUGUUUAGAUUACUUUUUAUGGAUAUUUUUUUUUUAAUCAGCACAAAUUAGAUUGAGCAAUAAAAGCCCCAUCGGUCUUCUUCAAUUAAUCUUGCUGAUGACAGUACAGAGCACAAUACCAUAGCAAAGAUUAGAAGGGAAGAACUGUUAUUCCAUAGGCUGGGAUCUGCACUAUGCAGAUUUUGCAAGAGCACAUUUUUCACUGGCUGUCCACUGGUCAAUGAUUGAUAGGCAGCUUAAACGUCUUAAAUUGAACCAUUAUUGGGUUAAAAUACACAUAUACAUUUGUGAAGGGGACUAAGCACGAACCCCUGAGGGGCCCCCGUGUUUAGGGUCAGCAUGACAGAUGUGUUGCUGCCUAACCCUCAACACAGGGGCGCAGCCCGUCAGGAAGUCCAGGAUCCAGUUGCAGAGGCAGGUGUUUAGUCCCAGGGUCCUUAGCUUAGUGAUGAGCUUUGAGGGCACUAUGGUGUUGAACACUGAGCUGUAGUCGAUGAACAGCAUUCUCACAUAGGUGUUCCUUUUGUCCUGGUGGGACAGGGCAGUGUGGAGUGCGAUAGAGAUUGUGUCAUCUGUGGAUCUGUUGGGGCGGUAUGCAAAUUGAAGUGGGUUCAGGGUGUCUGGGAUGAUGAGAUUUGUAUGCCUGUGUGUGUGUGUGUGUGUGUGUGUCUCAGUGGCGGUCAGUGCCGUUUAUGAUGAGGGAGAACAAUUUAUUUUUUAUGAACAUGGCCUUAUUUCUAUUGUUAUUCAUAUUCCAUUCACCCAGCUCAAUCUAACAGCGAUAGGUUUAGGCUACUACAUGAUACUUGAAUUUUCCCUAUACCCAUCAUGCGUUUGCUACAACCUAGCCUAUGAAUGAAAGUUUACUGGAAGAGGGACCAGCCAGGUUACAGGCUGUAUAGCUAAGAGUUCCAGUGUUGUGUUGGAUAGUCAUAGCCAGCUAGCUAACAAAGCAUCCCUCUGUCUGAGCAGGGUGUUUGAGUAGGCUAAACUAGCCAGCUAGCUAACAAAGCAUCCCUCUGUCUGAGCAGGGUGUUUCAGUAGGCUAAACUAGCCAGCUGCAUUUGCUAGCUAAUUAAGUGAAACUGAAAGUGAAAAAAAAAGACGAAAUCUCUCUCUCUUGCUUCUCCUUCAUUUUUGAAUAAAUUAAUUUGUCGAAAACUGUUCAGCUAUUGCCUUUCUCUCUCUUUGAGUCAACUACUCACCACAUUUUAUGCACUGCAAUGAUAGCUGUAGCUUAUGCUUUCAGUACUAGAUUCAUUCUCUGAUCUGUAGUUUAUGCUUUCAGUACUAGAUUCAUUCUCUGAUCUGUAGCUUAUGCUUUCAGUACUAGAUUCAUUCUCUGAUCUGUAGCUUAUGCUUUCAGUACUAGAUUCAUUCUUAGAUCCUUUGAUUGGGUGGACAACAUGUCAAUUCAUGCUGCGAGAGCUCUGAUAGGUUGGAGAACGUCCUCCGGAAGUUGUCAUAAUUGCUGUGUAAGUCUAUGGAAGGGGGUGAGAACCAAAAGCCUAGGUUUUGUACCAUGUCAAUGUACCAAGAGGAGGACGGAAGCUAGCAGUCCUCCGGCUACACUAUGGUGCUACCCUACAGAGUGCUGUUGAGGCUACUGUAGACCUUCAUCGCAAAGCAGUGUAUUUACAUCAAUGAUUUGAUGACGUGAAUAUAAUUAGUAUAGUUUCAUCUAAAAGGGAUAACUUUUUUAAUGUUUUAAAAUGUAGAUUUUUAUGAAAUUCACUGAGGAGGAUGGUCCUCCUCCCUUCCUCAUCUGAGGAGCCUCCACUGGUGUGUCUGUCUUUGUGUGUAGAAGUCGAGAGCGGCAGGGCUAGGCCUGUCAGCUGGUGAGCUAAAGUAAACUAUUAGUGGUAGGAGAACACAUGGUCUCCUCAGAUUUGGUAGAAGUGUAUCUAAUUGCUGUGAGGCUGGGGUAUGAUUACAUGAUGGCUAAUUCACUGACAGAGAAUUCACUUGGCUGGGAGUGAGCCAGGAGGCUGCUUAAGUGGCUGAAUGCCUUUUGGUUAGUCUCCAUACUUACCCGAGGUGUUUGUGUGUGUGUGUG